GUAUUUUGACUGUGCAAAGGUAGCAUAAUCACUUGUCUCUUAAUUGGGGGCUGGAAUGAAUGAGGCGACGAAAUCUAGGCUAUCUAAGUUUUAAAUUAAAUUGACAAAGAGGUCAAAAGGCCUGUGUGGGCCAAGGGGACGAUAAGACCCUAUAAAACUUUACUUUUAGUGUGGGGCCUGACGGGGUGUUUUUACAUUUAAAAGUUUUACUGGGGCGGUAGUUAUAAAAACAAUUAGAUAUAAAAUAUAUUAAAUAGUGUAAAAGAACUCUUUUGAGAAAUAGAACAAGUUACUUUAGGGAUAACAGCGUAAUCCCCCCAGAGAGUCCUAAU
rnacentral:rRNA from 1 species